GGAGCGGUAGUUCAGUUGGUUAGAAUACCGGCCUGUCACGCCGGGGGUCGCGGGUUCGAGUCCCGUCCCC
rnacentral:tRNA from 1 species